AGAUGAGGUCUUGAUCCCCAUCCGACACCUUCUGAAUCAGACACGGUGAGGCCCAGCAAUCUGUUUUCACGGCCUUCCAGGUGAUUUUGAGGGCAAUUCAAGCUGCUGGAACAAGACCGAGAUAUAAAGGAGCCAGUGCAAUAUUUCAACAGUGUGGAGGAGGUGGCUAAGGCAUUUCCUGAACGCGUGUACGUCAUGGAGGAUAUCACAUUCAACGUGAAGGUUGCGUCAGGUGAAUGCAAUGAAGACACUGAAGUUUACAACAUCACCCUGUGUACUGGGGAUGAACUCACUCUAAUGGGGCAGGCAGAAAUCCUUUAUGCAAAGACAUUCAAGGAAAAGUCACGACUCAACACAAUCUUCAAAAAGAUUGGGAAGCUCAAUUCCAUCAGCAAGCUGGGAAAAGGCAAAAUGCCGUGCCUCAUUUGUAUGAAUCACCGGACCAACGAAAGCAUUAGCCUUCCAUUCCAGUGCAAGGGUAGAUUUAGCACCCGAAGUCCCCUGGAACUUCAGAUGCAAGAGGGUGAACACACCAUCCGCAACAUUGUGG
rnacentral:sRNA from 1 species